UUAGGUUAGUAUAUUUGAUCGAAUUUGUAUGCAAUUACGCAGGAUGAAUUUUCAGCCGUUAUAACAAAAUCAUUGGUAACCUUAGAGGAUGGGGCUUAUCAGAUUUUUCAGGAGGCAGGACAAAGUCUUUCAAAGGCCAGAUUAUAGGUCUCAUUUACGCAACUCAGUACCUACGAGUCCCUCUUAUACUUUUUAACUCCGUCUUCAUUAUUGUAAAGUUCGUUUUUGGGUGAUGUCUAGCAAGGUGUUCGAUGAUCCGACGUCAUUAACAGAGGAGGAGUUGUAUGAAUUGCGAAACAGCUAGGCAACUUGUUUUCUUGACCUAUACAAUCCCGAGGUAGAUUAUGAUGUUGCCGAUGAUGAGGCUUAGGAGUUAGCUAGGUUAAUUUGUGUGAUGGAUUCAUAUUAAUUAUGAUGUUUUGAAUUGUAAUGACUUGUAUUUUGAUCGAAUGUUAUAACAUUUUGGAUGAAUGAGUUGGUAUUUUGCUUGAAUUGUAAUGACUUGGUAUUUUAUUUGAAUUGUAAUGACUUGGUAUUUUGCUUUAAUGACAUUUGAUCAUAUUAUGUAAUUGUAUUUUGGUUGAAUGUUGAAUUGUAAUGCUAUUUUGGUUUUUUUUAAUUACAAAAUAGGAUUUAAA